GAUGAACGCUGGCGGCGUGCCUAAUACAUGCAAGUCGAGCGAACAGACGAGGAGCUUGCUCCUCUGACGUUAGCGGCGGACGGGUGAGUAACACGUGGAUAACCUACCUAUAAGACUGGGAUAACUUCGGGAAACCGGAGCUAAUACCGGAUAAUAUAUUGAACCGCAUGGUUCAAUAGUGAAAGACGGUUUUGCUGUCACUUAUAGAUGGAUCUGCGCCGCAUUAGCUAGUUGGUACGGUCACGGCUUACCAAGGCAACGAUGCGUAGCCGACCUGAGAGGGUGAUCGGCCACACUGGAACUGGGACACGGUCCAGACUCCUACGGGAGGCAGCAGUAGGGAAUCUUCCGCAAUGGGCGAAAGCCUGACGGAGCAACGCCGCGUGAGUGAUGAAGGUCUUCGGAUCGUAAAACUCUGUUAUUAGGGAAGAACAAAUGUGUAAGUAACUAUGCACGUCUUGACGGUACCUAAUCAGAAAGCCACGGCUAACUACGUG
rnacentral:rRNA from 1 species